UUGUCUACAACAUAAACUGCAGCUGCGGUAGGAAAUACAUUGGGAAGACCACACAACGUCUUGAGGUCCGUAUUCGUCAACAUAAGGACAGCAUAAGAAACAACGAGAGAAAGACUGCACUUUCCACCCACGCCAUCGAGAAUGAAUGCUCUUUUGACUUUGGCGGCACGACAGUGUUGGAUAGAGAAGCACAACAUCACAAACUUCUCAUUUUGGAGAUGAUCUACAUUCAAACAAACAGAGAGAGAGCAAUCAAUCUGCAGAGCGACACAUCCAAACUGGGCACUGUGUAUGCGGCCAUCAUACAGAGUAUGAGACUGGAUGAGGAAAGGAGAAUGAGAAGGAGAGAGGGAGAGAGAAUGUUGGAGAGAGCUCAGCGGGAGAUGGAACGCUCUGAUGGGGUGCAAGAAGGAGAUGCGCGCGCAGUACAGAUUGGCCACCAAUGAGAGGAGCUAAAGAAAAUUGUGUUGUAGAUGUAGUGAUUUUUGAUCGAUUCGUGACGUGGUUAAUUUUGUCCAUUGACUGCCCUGAGGAAGGACUAAAAUAGUCCGAAACGUUGGCCGGAAAUAAAAGUUAAUUAGCCGAGAACAAGACCGAAAA